UCCAGCUCCUCCUCCGCGUCCAGCAGUAGCCUCCCGACGGCCGUACAUCCACAGUAACACGGCACUCGUGCGCUUCGUGGCGGUACGGUGGGCAGCUGAUCGUGUGGGGCACAUCGUCGCCGAGUAGCUAGUAUUAGUAGCAGCGGCGUGGCAGGAAAGGGUGGUGCUUCCGUGCGCGUCAAGGCGGUGGCGACAGUUAAGGUCACCGUCGGUGGGUUCCUCGAUGGGCUGAGGCCGUCCAAGAUGAUGGACGAUGUGAAGGACCUCAUCGGCAGGUCCAUGGAGCUCGAGCUUGUCAGCGCCGAUCUUGACGCCAAGACGGGGAAGGAGAAACAGACGAUCAAGAGCUAUGCCCGCAAGGUGUCCGACAAGGACCGUCACAUCGUCACCUAUGAAGCAGGCUUCGACGUGCCGGCGGGCUUCGGCUCCGUCGGCGCCGUGCUGGUCACCAACGAGCACGACACGGAGAUGUUCCUCAAGGACGUGAAGCUCAUCGGCGGUGGCAACUCGGACUCGGAGCCCCACGUGAUCCGCUGCGACUCCUGGCUGCCGCCCAAGUCCGGUGACGCCAAGCGCAUCUUCUUCGCCAACAAGCCUUCACUGCCGAGCCAAACUCCUCCUGGCCUCCAGAACUACCGGAAGAACGACCUCAUGAAGAAGCGCGGUGACGGCAUGGGGCAGAGGACGGCCAACGACCGGGUCUACGACUACGACGUGUACAACGAUCUCGGCUCCGGCGAGGAACCCGGUGCCGUCGGCGCCCGCCCCGUUAUCGGCGGUAACCAGAAGUUCCCCUACCCACGGCGCUGCCGCACCGGCCGCCCCCGAUCCAUCAAAGAUCGGCAGUCGGAGACGAGGAGCGGCGACGUGUACGUGCCGAGGGACGAGGCGUUCGUGCAGUUCAAGGUGAAGACGCUGCAGUCGGUGCUCCAUGCCGUGGUGCCGGCCGUGCAGUCCACGUUCAUCGACCGCAACCAAGGCUUCCCCUCCUUCUUCGUCAUCGACAAGUUGUUCGAGGACGGUGUCGUGCUGCCGCGCACUCGAGAGGUCGGCUUCCUCCGCAGCGCCGUGCCGCGCCUCCUUCAGUUCCUCCGCGACGGCCUUGGCGACAAGCUUCUCCUCUUCCAGCGCCCCGCAAAUGUCAAAAAGGACAAGUUUGCGUGGUUACGUGACGAGGAGUUCGCCAGGGAGACGCUCGCCGGCAUCAACCCAUACGCCAUCGAGCUUGUCAGGGAAUUUCCCCUCAAGAGCAAUCUGGACCCGGCAAAGUACGGGCCGGCGGAGUCGGCUAUCACCGCCGAGCUGCUGGAGGCGCAGAUGGGGCACACCAUGACGGUGGCCGAGGCGGUGGAGAAGAAGAGACUGUUCAUGCUCGACUUCCACGACCUGUUCCUGCCGUACGUGCACAGGAUCCGUGCCCUGGAGCACACCACCAUGUAUGGCUCCCGCACCAUCUUGUUCCUUACCGACGACGGCACGCUGCGCCUCCUCGCCAUCGAGCUCACCCGGCCGGCCUCGCCGACGACGCCGCAGUGGAGGCAGGUGUUCACUUCGUCCACGGACACCACCAAGUCCUGGCUAUGGCGGAUGGCCAAGUCCCACGUUCGUGCCCACGACGCCGGCCACCACGAGCUCGUCACCCACUGGCUGCGCACGCACUGCGCCGUGGAGCCCUACAUCCUCGCGGCCAACAGGCAGCUCAGCGAGAUGCAUCCCGUCUACCAGCUCCUGCGCCCGCACUUCCGCUACACCAUGCGGAUCAACGCGCUCGCACGCUCCUUCCUGGUCAACGGCGGCGGCAUCAUCGAGAGUACCUUCUCACCUCAGAGGUACGGCAUGGAGCUCAGCUCCGUGGCCUACGACAAGCUCUGGCGCUUCGACACGGAGGCCCUCCCAGCGGACCUCGUCCGGAGGGGCAUGGCAGAGGAGGACCCCACGGCGGAGCACGGCCUCAGGUUGGCCAUCAAAGACUACCCGUUCGCCAACGACGGGCUCCUUAUCUGGGACGCCAUCAAGGGGUGGGUUCAGGCGUACGUUUCCUACUACCCGGACGACGACAGCGUCACACAAGACGAGGAGCUGCAGGCGUUCUGGACGGAGGUGCGCACCGAGGGACACGGCGACAAGAAGGAGGCGCCGUGGUAGCCUAAGCUGGACACGCCGGAGACCCUCGCGCACACGCUCACCACAAUAAUCUGGGUCGCGGCGGCGCACCACGCGGCGGUCAACUUCGGGCAGUAUGACUUUGGGGGGUACUUCCCGAACCGCCCCUCGAUCGCGCGUACCAAGAUGCCGGUGGAGGAGCCCGUGGACGACGCCGCCUUGAAGAAAUUCCUCGACAACCCGGACGAGGCGCUCCGGGAAUGCUUCCCGUCGCAGGUGCAGGCAACGGUGGUGAUGGCGGUGCUGGAGGUGCUGUCCAGCCACUCCCCCGACGAGGAGUACCUCGGAGGGAUGGAGACCGCGCCGUGGGGCGAUGACACCGCGGUGCGGGCGGCGUACACGAGGUUCAACGACGAGCUGAAGGUGGCGGAGGGGGUCAUCAAGGAAAGGAACGAGAACAGAAUGCUCAAGAAUCGGUGCGGCGCUGGCAUCGUGCCGUAUGAGCUCAUGAAACCAUUCUCGCAGCCCGGCCCCGGUGUCAUGCGCAAGGGCAUCCCCAACAGCACCUCCAUCUGA
rnacentral:rRNA from 1 species